rfam:Dipodomys ordii contig_29934, whole genome shotgun sequence.
GGUAAGGUGGCUCAGUGAUAGAGUGCUUGCCUUAUAGGCAUGAGGCCCUGGGUUCGAUUCCUCAGCACCA